rnacentral:rRNA from 1 species
AACCAUCGAGUCUUUGAACGCAAGUUGCGCCCGAGGCCACUCGGCCGAGGGCACGCCUGCCUGGGCGUCACGC